AAGAGAACUUGCCCUCCGGGGUAGAUCUCCCACCCUCUGUUUACAUACUUUGUUGCUUUGGCAGGCCCGUCUCCGGACCGCCGGCUUCGGCUGGCCCGUGCCUGCCAGAGGAUUCAAAACUCUGAAUUAUAAUGCCGUCUGAGUACUAUAUAAUAGUUA
rnacentral:misc_RNA from 1 species